rnacentral:rRNA from 1 species
AAUCUUCCGCAAUGGACGAAAGUCUGACGGAGCAACGCCGCGCGAGUGAUGAAGGUUUCCGGAUCGUAAAACUCUGUUGUUAGGGAAGAACAAGUAUCGGAGUCACUGCCGGUACCUUGACCGUACCUGACGAGAAAGCCACGGCUAACUACGUUCCAGCAGCCGCGGUAAUACGUAGGUGGCAAGCGUUGUCCGGAUUUAUUGGGGGUAAAGCGCGGGCAGGCGGUCGUUUAAGUCUGAUGUGAAAUCUUACAAGUUAACUGUAAGGGGUAAGUGGAAACUGGGAGACUUGAGUGCAGAAGAGGAGAGUGGAAUUCCAUGUGUAGCGGUGAAAUGCGUAGAGAUAUGGAGGAACACCAGUGGCGAAGGCGACUCUCUGGUCUGCAACUGACGCUGAGGCGCGAAAGCGUGGGGAUCAAACA